CACAUCAUGUAUAUUCACGAUUUGCUUCAUGGGCUUUCAUUACUGAUCAGUCCGCUGUUUGGAAAGCACAACAAAAGUGCGAUAUGAUAGACAAUUUAAUACUAAAUUGUGGAAUUGAUAAUAUUGGAAGCAUUAAAUUUUAGUUGUAGAGGGUAAACUACCAAUGUCCCCAGAUUUUGAAACAUUGAAAGUGCGGUGUUACAGCAACCCAACAAGCAGCAUAAGAAUGACGUCACGAGGAACCGACAUGCAGAAAAAUAAUGGGUUCGAGUCCAAGGGUCUGAUUUUACUACUGAUAUGUGGGUUUUAUGCUGUUAUCCUUUUUAUAGUAGCCCGUUUGUUGAGCUACGCAGCAUCUAAAAUAUUAUCACCAGUGAAGUCAGCUAUGUUCAGAGUUGAGAAAACCGAGAUGUUUGUUAAAGACCUGUCUGACCAAAACAACAACAGCAGUCCAGUGUUGAAAUUCAAACGAGAACAACAACAACGAACGCGGACAUUCUCGCAUGGGUGAGAAUAUCACUUGAAAUUCUCAUGGAUUAAAACUUCAUUCUCCAAUGAUUGGACAAGAACUUAAGCUUAAAUUUGCUUAGUUUCAUCCAUUAAACCCUAAGGGAAUUGUGGAAAUAAUCAUAAGUAUGUUUUUAACACAAUGGAAAAAUGAACACAAAGGUCCAAUUCUUGUGUUUUAAAAGCGGCUGGUCCAGUCUUGCUACUGUAACUGGUAAUUCGUUAAAUGAAUAGGUCGUUUAACAGAAAACCGAACAUUGGUAAUGCGCAGGAUAAAACUGUCCAAAAACUAAAAUAACAACCAGUUACGAAUAAUGCCAUCAAUAUAGUGCAUGUUUUAUGUAUUCGGUUUUGAAACAGAUUGCAUUAUUAUUCAACACGUGAAUAAUCACACCAUGUACCAGAUAUGGCAAGAUAAAAUAAUCUUGACAUUGAACUUUGACGCUCGCCUUGAACCAGAUAAAACUGGAUAAUGUUUACACGUUGGAAAUUGUACUUUGAUAAGCACCUGUAUUUAUGUUUAUCUCAUAUGUCUGCUCAUAGGUACAAGGACUAACUGAUAAGCUGUCAAGGACAACUAUUUUGUCUGCAACAUAAAUUUGUGGGUCGCGAUAAGAAGCGCCUUCUAGCGGUGCGACCUGAAUGCAUUUGAAUGUUUGAUUUCAAAGUAGCUAAACGCUUCUAGAUAUUAUUGUCUCUUAUCAGAAACUAACUAUUUUGUAUUAAACAAAGAAUACUCAGACAAAAUAAAACAAUAGUGAGCGACUAUUAUUAAUACUUUUAGUGUUAGAUAUACAUAAACGCAUCAGUUUUAGAUAUUUUGUUAUUUUUAUGCCAAAGAAAUUAAUAUUGAAAUAAAAGUGAGUAUAGAUAAAUUGUAUAAAACAAUUUAAUGAGUAUAGAUAAAUUGUAUUAAUAAAAAAUAAACAAUGUAAAAUAAUGCAAAAUGUUGAUUCUCACAUUUGAUUGAAUGAGAAUUUAUGUUGCUUUUUUAUUUGUACAGUUGUGUUAAAAAAAUGGCAUUUUUAUUUUGUUUCGACUAUGUAUGUACAUUUUGUAUUUUUGAAUAUUAUUUAUCAAAAUGUUUAUGAUAAUAUGCAACAAAAGAAAAAAAAACGAAAAAAAAAAAAAAAAAAAAAAACAGGAAGGAAAAAAAUGAAAUAAAAGAAAGAAACCAAUGCUUGUUUUAUUUUGAUUUUAUUUUCUUUAUUGAGACAAAUUACCGUUUCUCACUAAUGAAUGAGAAUAAUUCUGUAGUCUAUGUAAGCCGAUACUUACUGAAUGUUUACGUCACAUUUCCACAGUAUCGACUUGACCAAAUGUUCGUCUGCAAUUCCUUCUGUAUAUCUUUCUACGCAUGUGCGGGCCAAAGACAGCUCAGCCGUCUCGAAUAAAAUAAAAGUGAUUACUUUUGAAGAUUUAGGGAUUAACCCUAUUAAUUCAGGCGAAUUGCUAAAUGUAAAAGCAAGAUAACAAACUUACUUUUUUCAAAAUAACAAACUUAAACAGGUUUUUUUUAGAAACUUUGCACGGUGAUCCAAGCUUGAUUACUGAAAACUUGAUUUCCAUUGGAAAUAAUAUAGAGAUACUUGUUCUAAUUAGUAAACAUGCUAACAACUGAAUGAUUCUUUAUGCACGUUAUUGCUUUCCAUUGAAUAUUAUUAAUAGGGUUAGGGUUUUAAGUAAAGCAUUCUUACUCCGAC